rnacentral:rRNA from 1 species
GACGAACGCUGGCGGCGUGCUUAACACAUGCAAGUCGAACGGUAAGGCCCUUCGGGGUACACGAGUGGCGAACGGGUGAGUAACACGUGGGUGAUCUGCCCUGCACUUCGGGAUAAGCCUGGGAAACUGGGUCUAAUACCGGAUAGGACUCCUGGCUUCAUGGUUGGGGGUGGAAAGCUUUUGCGGUGUGGGAUGGGCCCGCGGCCUAUCAGCUUGUUGGUGGGGUAAUGGCCUACCAAGGCGACGACGGGUAGCCGGCCUGAGAGGGGAACCGGUCACACUGGGACUGAGAUACGGCCCAGACUCCUACGGGAGGCAGCAGUGGGGAAUAUUGCACAAUGGGCGCAUGCCUGAUGCAGCGACGCCGCGUGAGGGAUGACGGCCUUCGGGUUGUAAACCUCUUUCAGCUAUGACGAAGCGCAAGUGACGGUAGUAGCAGAAGAAGGACCGGCCAACUACGUGCCAGCCGCCGCGGUAA